AGUGAACGCUGGCGGUAGGCCUAACACAUGCAAGUCGAACGGCAGCACAGUAAGAGCUUGCUCUUACGGGUGGCGAGUGGCGGACGGGUGAGGAAUACAUCGGAAUCUACUUUUUCGUGGGGGAUAACGUAGGGAAACUUACGCUAAUACCGCAUACGACCUACGGGUGAAAGCAGGGGAUCUUCGGACCUUGCGCGAUUGAAUGAGCCGAUGUCGGAUUAGCUAGUUGGCGGGGUAAAGGCCCACCAAGGCGACGAUCCGUAGCUGGUCUGAGAGGAUGAUCAGCCACACCGGAACUGAGACACGGUCCAGACUCCUACGGGAGGCAGCAGUGGGGAAUAUUGGACAAUGGGCGCAAGCCUGAUCCAGCCAUACCGCGUGGGUGAGGAAGGCCUUCGGGUUGUAAAGCCCUUUUGUUGGGAAGGAAAAGCAGCAGGUUAAUACCCCGCUGUUCUGACGGUACCCAAAGAAUAAGCACCGGCUAACUUCGUG
rnacentral:rRNA from 1 species